GUCCACGCCCUAAACGAUGAUGACUAGUUGUUGGAGGAGUUAAAUCCUUUAGUAACGCAGCUAACGCGAGAAGUCAUCCGCCUGGGGAGUACGGUCGCAAGAUUAAAACUCAAAGGAAUUGACGGGGGCCCGCACAAGCGGUGGAUGAUGUGGUUCAAUUCGACGCAACGCGAAAAACCUUACCUACCCUUGACAUGUACGGAACCUCACGGAGACGUGGGGGUGCCCGAAAGGGAGCCGUAACACAGGUGCUGCAUGGCUGUCGU
rnacentral:rRNA from 1 species